rnacentral:rRNA from 1 species
CGAUAUCGACGAGUUUGAUCGAUGGCUCAGAACGACGCUGGCGGCAUGCCUAACACAUGCAAGUCGAACGAACCCUUCGGGGUUAGUGGCGCACGGGUGCGUAACGCGUGGGGAUCUGCCCAAAGGUUCGGAAUAACUCAGAGAAAUUUGAGCUAAUACCGGAUAAUGUCUUCGGACCAAAGAUUUAUUGCCUUUGGAUGAACCCGCGUAGGAUUAGCUUGUUGGUGGGGUAAAGGCCUACCAAGGCGACGAUCCUUAGCUGGUCUGAGAGGAUGAUCAGCCACACUGGGACUGAGACACGGCCCAGACUCCUACGGGAGGCAGCAGUGGGGAAUAUUGGACAAUGGGCGAAAGCCUGAUCCAGCAAUGCCGCGUGAGUGAUGAAGGCCUUAGGGUUGUAAAGCUCUUUUACCAGGGAUGAUAAUGACAGUACCUGGAGAAUAAGCUCCGGCUAACUCCGUG